rnacentral:rRNA from 1 species
UACAGAGGUCCCAAGCGUUGUUCGUAUUCACUGGGCGUAAAGGGUGCGUAGGCGGUCGGGUAAGUCUGAUGUGAAAUCUCACAGCUUAACUGUGAAACUGCAUUGGAUACUAUCCGGCUAGAGGAAUGGAGGGGAGACUGGAAUACUUGGUGUAGCAGUGAAAUGCGUAGAUAUCAAGUGGAACACCAGUGGCGAAGGCGAGUCUCUGGACAUUUCCUGACGCUGAGGCACGAAAGCCAGGGGAGCAAACGGG